GCCAACGUCCAUACCACGUUGAAAACACCGGUUCUCGUUCGAUCACCGAAGUUAAGCAACGUCGGGCGCGGUCAGUACUUGGAUGGGUGACCGCCUGGGAACACCGCGUGACGUUGGCU
rfam:Operophtera brumata OBRT01_Sc04622, whole genome shotgun sequence.